ACGCUUGAGGAGCGUUGCGACGGAUCAUUCCGCCAGGCUCAAGCAUUCCAGGGUAUGCCGCGUUCGCGCGGCACCAUGAAACGGCGCUCACCUUAG
rnacentral:ncRNA from 2 species